rnacentral:rRNA from 1 species
CCUACGGGAGGCAGCAGUGGGGAAUAUUGGGCAAUGGGCGCAAGCCUGACCCAGCAACGCCGCGUGAAGGAAGAAGGCUUUCGGGUUGGAAACUUCUUUUGUCAGGGACGAAGCAAGUGACGGUACCUGACGAAUAAGCCACGGCUAACUACGUGCCAGCAGCCGCGGUAAUACGUAGGUGGCAAGCGUUAUCCGGAUUUACUGGGUGUAAAGGGCGUGUAGGCGGGGACGCAAGUCAGAUGUGAAAACCACGGGCUCAACCUGUGGCCUGCAUUUGAAACUGUUUUUCUUGAGUACUGGAGAGGCAGACGGAAUUCCUAGUGUAGCGGUGAAAUGCGUAGAUAUUAGGAGGAACACCAGUGGCGAAGGCGGGCUGCUGGACAGCAACUGGCGCUGAGGCGCGAAAGCGUGGGGAGCAAACAGGAUUAGAUACCCCGGUAGUC